AGACGGGGGGUGCUAGCGUUGUUCGGAAUUACUGGGCGUAAAGGGCGCGUUGGCGGCUCUGCGAGUCAGGCGUGAAAUCCCGGGGCUCAACCCCGGAACGGCGCUCGAUACUGCGGGGCUGGAGACCGGAAGAGGAGGGUGGAAUUCCCAGUGUAGAGGUGAAAUUCGUAGAUAUUGGGAGGAACACCGGUGGCGAAAGCGGCUCUCUGGUCCGGUUCUGACGCUGAGGCGCGAAAGCGUGGGGAGCAAACAGGAUUAGAAACCCUAGUAGUCC
rnacentral:rRNA from 1 species